rnacentral:rRNA from 1 species
UACGUAGGGUGCAAGCGUUGUCCGGAAUUAUUGGGCGUAAAGAGCUCGUAGGCGGUCUGUCGCGUCGGCUGUGAAAACUCGGGGCUCAACUCCGAGCUUGCAGUCGAUACGGGCAGGCUAGAGUUCGGCAGGGGAGACUGGAAUUCCUGGUGUAGCGGUGAAAUGCGCAGAUAUCAGGAGGAACACCGGUGGCGAAGGCGGGUCUCUGGGCCGAUACUGACGCUGAGGAGCGAAAGCGUGGGGAUCAAACAGG